rnacentral:tRNA from 1 species
GACCUCGUGGCUCAACUGGUAGAACGUGCGCAUGCAAAGCUUAGGCGGUGUCCAUGCGUGGGUUCGAAUCCCACCGAGUCUA